rnacentral:rRNA from 1 species
CCAGACUCCUACGGGAGGCAGCAGUGGGGAAUAUUGCACAAUGGGGGGAACCCUGAUGCAGCGACGCCGCGUGGGUGAAGGAGCACCUCGGUGCGUAAAGCCCUAUCGGCAGGGGAGAAACAGACGGUACCUCUUGAAUAAGCCACGGCUAACUACGUGCCAGCAGCCGCGGUAAUACGUAGGUGGCAAGCGUUGUCCGGAUUUACUGGGUGUAAAGGGCGUGCAGCCGGGCUGACAAGUCAGAUGUGAAAUCCCGCGGCUCAACCGCGGAACUGCAUUUGAAACUGUCAGUCUUGAGUACCGGAGAGGUCAUCGGAAUUCCUUGUGUAGCGGUGAAAUGCGUAGAUAUAAGGAAGAACACCAGUGGCGAAGGCGGAUGACUGGACGGCAACUGACGGUGAGGCGCGAAAGCGUGGGGAGCAAACAGGAUUAGAUACCCUAGUAC